CUUGAACGCUGGCGGCAGGCCUAACCCAUGCAAGUCGCACGAGUGGCGGACGGGUGAGUAAUGUCUGGGAAACUGCACGAUGGAGGGGGAUAACUACUGGAAACGGUAGCUAAUACCGCAUACCCUCGGAUGUGCCCCGAGGGGAUUAGCUAGUAGGUGGGGUAAUGGCUCCACUAGGCGACGAUCCCUAGCUGGUCUGAGAGGAUGACAAGCCACAAGUGAACUGAGACCAGGUCCAGACUCCUACGGGAGGCAGCAGGGGGGAAUAUUGCAGAAUGGGCGAAAGCCUGAUGCAGACAUGCCGCGUGUAUGAAGAAGGCCUUCGGGUUGUAAAGUACUUUCAGCGGGGAGGCGUUACCCGCAGAAGAAGCACCGGCUAACUCCGGGCCAGCAGCCGCGGUAAUAC
rnacentral:rRNA from 1 species